ACGUGGGCAACCUGCCUGUAAGUUGGGGAUAACUCCGGGAAACCGGGGCUAAUACCGAAUGAUAAAGUGUGGCGCAUGCCACGCUUUUGAAAGAUGGUUUCGGCUAUCGCUUACAGAUGGGCCCGCGGGCAUUAGCUAGUUGGUAGGGUAAUGGCCUACCAAGGCAACGAUGCAUAGCCGACCUGAGAGGGUGAUCGGCCACACUGGGACUGAGACACGGCCCAGACUCCUACGGGAGGCAGCAGUAGGGAAUCUUCCGCAAUGGACGAAAGUCUGACGGAGCAACGCCGCGUGUAUGAAGAAGGUUUUCGGAUCGUAAAGUACUGUUGUUAGAGAAGAACAAGGAUAAGAGUAACUGCUUGUCCCUUGACGGUAUCUAACCAGAAAGCCACGGCUAACUACGUGCCAGCAGCCGCGGUAAUACGUAGGUGGCAAGCGUUGUCCGGAUUUAUUGGGCGUAAAGCGCGCGCAGGCGGUCUUUUAAGUCUGAUGUGAAAGCCCCCGGCUUAACCGGGGAGGGUCAUUGGAAACUGGAAGACUGGAGUGCANAAGAGGAGAGUGGAAUUCCACGUGUAGCGGUGAAAUGCGUAGAUAUGUGGAGGAACACCAGUGGCGAAGGCGACUCUCUGGUCUGUAACUGACGCUGAGGCGCGAAAGCGUGGGGAGCAAAC
rnacentral:rRNA from 1 species